rnacentral:rRNA from 1 species
ACCGACGGGAGCUUGCUCCCUUAGGUCAGCGGCGGACGGGUGAGUAACACGUGGGUAACCUGCCUGUAAGACUGGGAUAACUCCGGGAAACCGGGGCUAAUACCGGAUGCUUGAUUGAGCCGCAUGGUUCAAUUAUAAAAGGUGGCUUUCAGCUACCACUUACAGAUGGACCCGCGGCGCAUUAGCUAGUUGGUGAGGUAACGGCUCACCAAGGCGACGAUGCGUAGCCGACCUGAGAGGGUGAUCGGCCACACUGGGACUGAGACACGGCCCAGACUCCUACGGGAGGCAGCAGUAGGGAAUCUUCCGCAAUGGACGAAAGUCUGACGGAGCAACGCCGCGUGAGUGAUGAAGGUUUUCGGAUCGUAAAACUCUGUUGUUAGGGAAGAACAAGUACCGUUCGAAUAGGGCGGCACCUUGACGGUACCUAACCAGAAAGCCACGGCUAACUACGUGCCAGCAGCCGCGGUAAUACGUAGGUGGCAAGCGUUGUCCGGAAUUAUUGGGCGUAAAGCGCGCGCAGGCGGUUUCUUAAGUCUGAUGUGAAAGCCCCCGGCUCAACCGGGGAGGGUCAUUGGAAACUGGGGAACUUGAGUGCAGAAGAGGAGAGUGGAAUUCCACGUGUAGCGGUGAAAUGCGUAGAGAUGUGGAGGAACACCAGUGGCGAAGGCGACUCUCUGGUCUGUAACUGACGCUGAGGCGCGAGCGUGGGGAGCGAACAGGA